rnacentral:rRNA from 1 species
AUUGAACGCUGGCGGCAGGCUUAACACAUGCAAGUCGAGCGGGGUGAUGGUGCUUGCACUAUCACUUAGCGGCGGACGGGUGAGUAAUGCUUAGGAAUCUGCCUAUUAGUGGGGGACAACAUUUCGAAAGGAAUGCUAAUACCGCAUACGUCCUACGGGAGAAAGCAGGGGAUCUUCGGACCUCGCGCUAAUAGAUGAGCCUAAGUCGGAUUAGCUAGUUGGUGGGGUAAAGGCCUACCAAGGCGACGAUCUGUAGCGGGUCUGAGAGGAUGAUCCGCCACACUGGGACUGAGACACGGCCCAGACUCCUACGGGAGGCAGCAGUGGGGAAUAUUGGACAAUGGGCGGAAGCCUGAUCCAGCCAUGCCGCGUGUGUGAAGAAGGCCUUAUGGUUGUAAAGCACUUUAAGCGAGGAGGAGGCUACUCUAGUUAAUACCUAGAGAUAGUGGACGUUACUCGCAGAAUAAGCACCGGCUAACUCUGUGCCAGCCGCCGCCGUAAUAC